rnacentral:rRNA from 1 species
AUUGAACGCUGGCGGCAGGCCUAACACAUGCAAGUCGGACGGUAGCAUAGAGAGCUUGCUCUUGGGUGACGAGUGGCGGACGGGUGAGUAAUGUCUGGGGAUCUGCCCGAUAGAGGGGGAUAACCACUGGAAACGGUGGCUAAUACCGCAUAACGUCGCAAGACCAAAGAGGGGGACCUUCGGGCCUCUCACUAUCGGAUGAACCCAUCGAUGGGAUUAGCUAGUAGGCGGGGUAAUGGCACCUAGGCGACGAUCCCUAGCUGGUCUGAGAGGAUGACCAGCCACACUGGAACUGAGACACGGUCCAGACUCCUACGGGAGGCAGCAGUGGGGAAUAUUGCACAAUGGGCGCAAGCCUGAUGCAGCCAUGCCGCGUGUAUGAAGAAGGCCUUCGGGUUGUAAAGUACUUUCAGCGGGGAGGAAGGCGGUGAGGUUAAUAAGCGUUGCGGAUUGACGUUACCCGCAGAAGAAGCACCGGCUAACUCCGUGCCAGCAGCCGCGGUAAUACGGAGGCCGUGCAAGCGUUAAUCGGAAUUACUGCGUAAAGCGCACGCAGGCGGUCUGUUAAGUCAGAUGUGAAAUCCCCGGGCUUAACCCUGGGAACUGCAUUUGAGGACUGGCAGGCUUGAGUCUCGUAGAGGGGGGUAGAAUUCCAGGUGUCGGUGAAAUGCAUAGAGAUCUGGAGGAUACAG